AUGCCAACUGAGCAUUGGACUACCACCGCCUGCCCCUGGCUCAGCGCCCGGUGCCAACAGAACACCUUUCAGGAUCCACAGCAACGCAGACAACAUUUUAAAGCACCUGAUGGAUUUGGAAAAUAUUUGAUGAAGACAAUGAUGCUGACAUUUCAAGUUAAAAGAAUCAUUACUAAUAAGAGGAAAGCAGAGAGAGACCCAAACCCAAUGAAAAACCAUAGGAAGCUACGGAACACAUGAAAAUCCCAGCUGGUGAAUAAACUCUAUCACGAUGGCAAAACAGCGUGAGUGAAAAUCUUUUAAACAUGCUUCAGCUGCAGGAGCUAAAUGUUGAGAAAUUCAAGAUUAAGAUGAUGCUUGAGAGAACUGAGGGGCACUCACGUUCACCCCUCUAGGAAAACCCUGCCUGUGGUCUACUGAGUCAUACACCAUUAGGGUGAUAAGGCAAGCUCAGCUGUUAAAGACAUGUCUUUCCUAUAAUGUAUAUAUCAAACAACAUGGCAGAGACGUUAUGGCUCAGCUCCCUGAAUCGAGUUAUCUCUAAAAUGAAGAUUAGAUAUUAAAUAGUUUUAUUACUCUAUUAUUAGAGUUAUAACAAAUCUAAGUGCUAAAUUCCUUUGAAUAUAUUGUCCUUCAUGCCAAGCUGGCAAUACCAUAAAGAUAAUAACUGAGGUAGAAUAUUUAACAAAUAUUUAUUGAUCACCUACUAUGUGCGAAACUACAAAGAUAAAUCAGACUUGGUCUUGGACUUGCAGGAGUAAAACUUCAUGUUCCAUGAGGAUAAUAGAUAUACAUAAAUAACACCCACACUGACUAUAACAUGGGUGUGUGUAGGGAGGAAGGUGAGGAAGAAUGAAUAAAGAUGACAGUUGGGAAAAGGUAGUUUAUAUAACAUUCCAGUGUGGUCUUGGAGUUUUCAUCCUGACUGGAUUACUAACGAGCUGCGUGACCUUCAGCCAGUCUCUGUGCUUUCGUUUUCUCGUCUGUAAAAUGAAGCGGUUAUUCUGUAAUGAUCUCUGAGGUCCCCCUUCAGAACAAAGACUCUUUAAUUUUAUUAUCCUGUUCUCAUAGGAUAAUAAAUAAAUACAUAUAAUGUAAGAAUAUAACUGCUUUCAAAAAUAAAAUUUAAAAAUUUUUUGCCAUAAAACAGUUUUAG
rnacentral:lncRNA from 1 species